UGAGGAAUAUUGGUCAAUGGGCGAGAGCCUGAACCAGCCAUGUAGCGUGCAGGAUGACGGCCCUAUGGGUUGUAAACUGCUUUUAUGUGGGGAUAAAGUGCGUGACGUGUCAUGCAUUGCAGGUACCACAUGAAUAAGGACCGGCUAAUUCCGUGCCAGCAGCCGCGGUAAUACGGAAGGUCCGGGCGUUAUCCGGAUUUAUUGGGUUUAAAGGGAGCGUAGGCUGUCUAUUAAGCGUGUUGAAAUUUACCGGCUCAACCGGUGGCUUGCAGCGCGAACUGGUCGACUUGAGUAUGCAGGAAGUAGGCGGAAUUCAUGGUGUAGCGGUGAAAUGCUUAGAUAUCAUGACGAACACCGAUUGCGCAGGCAGCUUACUGUAGCAUAACUGACGCUGAUGCUCGAAAGUGCGGGUAUCAAACAGG
rnacentral:rRNA from 1 species